CAGGCCUAACACAUGCAAGUCGAACGAUACCCCGGCUCUCGGGCCGGGGGAAAGUGGCGCACGGGUGCGUAACGCGUAUGCAACCUACCUUAAUCAGGGGGAUAGCCUCUCGAAAGAGAGAUUAACACCGCAUAAAAUCACAACCUGGCAUCAGGAAAUGAUCAAAUAUUUAUAGGAUUAAGAUGGGCAUGCGUGACAUUAGCUAGUUGGUAAGGUAACGGCUUACCAAGGCUACGAUGUCUAGGGGAUCUGAGAGGAUGACCCCCCACACUGGUACUGAGACACGGACCAGACUCCUACGGGAGGCAGCAGUAAGGAAUAUUGGUCAAUGGGGGCAACCCUGAACCAGCCAUGCCGCGUGCAGGAAGACGGCCCUACGGGUUGUAAACUGCUUUUAUACGGGAAUAAACCUCAAUUCGUGAAUUGAGCUGAAUGUACUGUAAGAAUAAGGAUCGGCUAACUCCGUGCCAGCAGCCGCGGUAAU
rnacentral:rRNA from 1 species